rnacentral:rRNA from 1 species
AAAUUGAAGAGUUUGAUCAUGGCUCAGAUUGAACGCUGGCGGCAGGCCUAACACAUGCAAGUCGAACGGUAACAGGAAGCAGCUUGCUGCUUUGUUGACGAGUGGCGGACGGGUGAGUAAUGUCUGGGAAACUGCCUGAUGGAGGGGGAUAACUACUGGAAACGGUGGCUAAUACCGCAUAACGUCGCAAGACCAAAGAGGGGGACCUUCGGGCCUCUUGCCAUCAGAUGUGCCCAGAUGGGAUUAGCUUGUUGGUGAGGUAACGGCUCACCAAGGCGACGAUCC